AGGCACUCCACAUCUCCAUUUUAGAGUCUGAACCCAUAUUUCUCAGAUUAUUCAGAGCUUGCAUGAUUUAAUAAAGAAGCUAGUAGCUGAAGGGGUGCUUUAUCUAAGCUUUCAGUUAUUCUUGUUCUUCCUACUGCAUCCAUAAUCAAUAAUAAAUCGCAGCAUUCUUAUGCUUCAAUCCCAAUGUAUUUACUUAAGGCUACCACUGAUUCAGGGAAUAUUAGGACUACUUUGUAUGGUAACUGUAGAGUCACAGCCUGAACCACUGAUUGAGCACCUGGGUAAAGGACUGGCUCAGCCCUGGGAGCACAGGUGAAGCCAAUUCAGCUGUGUGACUGGAAGGGGGGGAGCCUGGCUGCAGCUCUCCUAGACCCCAUUUAAGGUCUGACUGCCCCCAAGGAAGAAUUUUUCUCUGGACAUCCCUUCUUGGUAGAUCUUUCCCCUCUGAACCUGGAAUCUUCUGAUAGAGGGUGCAGAGAAAAGAGAUGCCAGCUUUGAUGACUGCAGAUUUUCUGCUGCAAAGAAGACAAAUGAUUCG
rnacentral:lncRNA from 1 species